rfam:Loxodonta africana unplaced genomic scaffold scaffold_4, whole genome shotgun sequence.
UCCUGUGUGGUGCAGACGGUUAACAUGCUCGGUUGCUAACUGAAAGGUUGGAGGUUCAAGUCCACCCAGAGGCA